rnacentral:rRNA from 1 species
GAUGAACGCUGGCGGCGUGCCUAAUACAUGCAAGUAGAACGCUGAAGCUUGGUGCUUGCACCGAGCGGAUGAGUUGCGAACGGGUGAGUAACGCGUAGGUAACCUGCCUCUUAGCGGGGGAUAACUAUUGGAAACGAUAGCUAAUACCGCAUAAAAGUCGAUAUCGCAUGAUAUUGAUUUGAAAGGUGCAAAUGCAUCACUAAGAGAUGGACCUGCGUUGUAUUAGCUAGUUGGUGAGGUAACGGCUCACCAAGGCGACGAUACAUAGCCGACCUGAGAGGGUGAUCGGCCACACUGGGACUGAGACACGGCCCAGACUCCUACGGGAGGCAGCAGUAGGGAAUCUUCGGCAAUGGGGGCAACCCUGACCGAGCAACGCCGCGUGAGGGAAGAAGGUUUUCGGAUCGUAAAGCUCUGUUGUAAGAGAAGAACGAGUGUGAGAGUGGAAAGUUCACACUGUGACGGUAACUUACCAGAAAGGGACGGCUAACUACGUG